ensembl:lncRNA
AGGCCAUGAGGAAUGAUUAGGGAUGCAUCAGAGGAGUGAUGUAAUCGGCUGUAUGGUAUAAGAAGAUAAGCACUUCCUGUAGGAUAAAUCAGAGGACACCAAGACUGGAAGGAGAUAAGAUCAUCCAGAAAGAGAGGAAACUUUGGAGAAACAAGGACUAAGAAUCCAGGGGAAUACAAAUACUUUAGUUAACAGAUAAACUUGAUGAAGCUGAGGAGUGGUCACAUAUAAGGAAAGAGAAGCAGAAGAUAUUAUAGGUCAAGGAUGUAGAGCAGCUUAAGAUAGAGGACGUUGUCAACAGUGCCAUGUGCUUCAGAAAGGUUAGGUAAAAGUCAGAAAAUGUCCAUUGUAGGGGCUGGCCCUGUGGCCUAGCUGUUAUAUUCAAUGCACGCUGCUGCAGCAGCCCACAUUCACAGGUUAGGAUCCCAGGUGGGGGCCUACACUACUCAUCAGGAGGUGCCUCAUACUAUGGCAGGUGUCCCACAUAUCAAAAAUAGAGGAAUAUUGGCACAGAAAAAGAGGAAGACUGACAACAGAUUUUUAGCUCAGAGAAAAUCUUCCUCAGCAACAACAACAAAAAUCCAUUGUAUUUGUCAAAUGGGAAAACAUUGAUGACUUUAGUUAGAAUGGUUUUAAUAACUUGGACAGAAGUCUCUUCUUAGGAGGUUGAAGAGUUAAUGGGGGCUGAGGGAAUAAUUAAAAUGAUUGUGUAAAAGGAGAAAAGGAGAAAAUGAUUGUGUGGUAGUAAGAAGAGUCAUCAGGUGGAAAACAAUUGAGUUUUCUUUUUUAAUAUGGGAGGGGCAGGAACACAUUUUCGAGCUUAGAGAAAUGACCCAGUGCAGAGGAAGAAAGCUGGAAUCAUUGAUGGAGGAGCAUCUGAGAGGUGAUGAAAAAGGAUGAAAUAGAAAAGAAAACCAUGAGUGGAUGCUGGCCUUGGACAAUGAAGGGAAAAUUCUUGCCUUGGCUCUGAAAGAAAGAACUUCAAGGAGUGGUCAACAUUCCAGAAGCCUGAGGGAGCAGAAUAUAAAGAUGAGUGUAUUCCUGCCAGAGGAUAUCAAGUUUCUCUCUAAAAUUGGAGUAAAAUCUCUGGUGAAAGUGAAAGAGCUAUAAUGAGAGUGUGUACCCGUGGAAUACCAGUUCCAGCCAUAAGCUGGGUGACUGAAGAGGAGGAAGGAUGAAGAGCAUCAGGGUGGAAGUUAAGGAAAGGUGCUGGAAGUGUCAUUCACGUGAACCUGGAAAUCAUCCAGGAGGAUGAAUAGAACUGACGUGGGAAAAUACCUUAGGGGCGUACUUAAUUCUUCCCUGAACGCAGGCCAGCGCCCUGGUGACGGGUAGAUGACCUCCAUGGGGAAUAAUUGAAAACAGUGCAAUCCAAUGCAUGGCAGUCCAAAGAGGACAGGAAUUUCCAAAUAAAUGUGGAAAAUCAAAGAUUUGGAAGCAACAACUUGAAAUUUAGGAAGCUGACUUCUAUUCUGCUUAGAAAUAUGGAAAUCAGGAGAGACUAUUUUGCUUUUGCUUUGCCUUCUCCUCCAAGGUAUGGACCCAAUCUUAGGUUUACUUUCUGCCUGUCAGCCUGGAAGAUCUGGCUAUUGUUCAUGUCAGGUCCCAUCUUAGGUGACUUUUGACUCCUGGUCUCUGUCAAUACAGGUAGACAUUGUCAUAUUGUAAUUAUUAUUUGAUACUCCAGAUAAAGCAGGUUUAUGAACCUGUUUAUUUGCUUGCCAUUAGGAGACUUUCUAUCUGCCUUUUGUCUAAAAUAACCCAUUUGAGGAGGGGCUGAGCUGGGGUUUGGAGGUGAUUGUUGGACCCCUAAAACCCCAACCAUGUAUGGCUCUUUUCCUUGCAUUCUUCUUUUCUUCCUCCCUAUCAUCUGAACUGCCUACUGCCUUUUGUCUUUCUCAUUUAUUAUUUCCUCCCUCAUUUGGUUUCAAUCUAAGGUCAUUCUUAGAUAUUCUGAAGCCACACAGAUGGCGCCCUCUCCCUCCUCUCCAAGCCUAGAAUCUCGUAAAGUUGAGAGAAACAAAGACAGACACCUAAGUAAAAAUCUAUUUGGGCAUCAGCGCAUCCAUAUCUAUUUGUGUCAUUAAUUUGUCCUUGCGUCUUGUAAACCCAAACUAGUUAUUUACAUCCCAAGUUUUGGCAAUGGCCUCUGAUAAAUCAGAUUGUCCCCCUCAGUUUCCCUAUCCUUAGUGGAUAUAUAUUUUUAAAGUCAAAAUAAAGCUGGUGUGACUGUAAGAUUGGCAUCAUUGAAAGCAUGUUAUCCAAGUGUCUAAGAUCAAUCCUAAACAUAAGUGGUUAAAAUCAUUUAAAAUGUGUUUUUAUUGUAAAUUAGAAUAUAUAAACAUUUAAACCUUAUCUUUAAGUGAAAAUUGACCUAUUUAAAGGAUUUUCUCAUUUAGCAAAUGUCUUAUUUUCUACAACAUAAAGAUAAAAGGAAGUAUUUGUAUUUAGGCUUGUAUAAAACUGAGAAUAUACAGAUUUGAUGCACAAAAAUGUGCUUCGUGAAAAGUGAGCCUUUUCUAUAUUAAAUAGAAUAAAACAACUAAUAAUUCUUAAUAUUCCACUUAAAAAUGUUAUUAGAAAAAGUGCAUCUCAAAACCCUUCAUGUCUUUUUUUUCUCUUCCUCCUCUUUGAAUAACUCUGGCAAGAAACCUCAACAUUUUAUUUGAUUAUUUAAGAGUUCCCUUUGGAGUGGAAGUAGAUAGAGCUUGAUAUCACUAUGUAUAAAUAAAUAAUUGGAAGGUUUCUAUGUCCAGAUAAAGUUCUAAAAUCAGAUAAGUGGGUUUCAUUUUAUCUUUUGUUAUUUUAGUGGUGGGAAGCCUGGUUUCGCCCUCCCCUCAAUGGCCUGUAGUCCUCCCAAGAUUGAUCCCCUGCCUCUCCUGUGGCCUGAGGGAUGUAUUUAGGAUCUCAUCAUCCCUUUUAAUCUGAUUGCCAUUCUGCAUUUUAAUCUCUGCUCCUAGGUUCUCUCAUAAAUUGGAAAGUACUGCAUCAUUCCCCCUUUCUCUCCACCUCCUAAACCACACUCAGUCCAUAACAGCACAGGAGUUAUAAAUGCCAGAUUAUAGAUCUGCUUCAUUAUAAAAACGUGUUUGGUGACACUUUUCUUCUGACAGUCAACAAUGUAAGAUUUAAUAAACUAUAAUUGUGGAUGUCAUUUAAUAUCUUGAUGGUUGCUAGUGAUGGCUGCAUGCUUUAUGAAAAGGUAAAUGGAAUUCAUCAGUUCAUCUCAAUUUUUUUAAACAAAUAUUUGCUUAACACCUAAAAUAUGCCAGGAAUCAGGCUAGGCAGUAAGAAUACAAAGAUGAAUAAACAUGUUUCCUGUCUUCAAAAACUCAUAGUCAAGUAAAGAGACAGUCAUGGAAAUAAC